rnacentral:rRNA from 1 species
GACGAACGCUGGCGGCGUGCUUAACACAUGCAAGUCGAACGCUGAAGCUCAGCUUUUGUUGGGUGGAUGAGUGGCGAACGGGUGAGUAACACGUGAGUAACCUGCCCCCUUCUUUGGGAUAACGCCCGGAAACGGGUGCUAAUACUGGAUAUUCACUGGUCUUCGCAUGGGGGUUGGUGGAAAGGGUUUUUCUGGUGGGGGAUGGGCUCGCGGCCUAUCAGCUUGUUGGUGGGGUGAUGGCCUACCAAGGCUUUGACGGGUAGCCGGCCUGAGAGGGUGACCGGUCACAUUGGGACUGAGAUACGGCCCAGAGUCCUACGGGAGGCAGCAGUGGGGAAUAUUGCACAAUGGGCGCAAGCCUGAUGCAGCGACGCCGCGUGAGGGAUGGAGGCCUUCGGGUUGUGAACCUCUUUGGCUCAUGGUCAAGCCGCAACAAUGGUUGUGGUGAGGGUAGUGGGUAAAGAAGCGCCGGCUAACUACGUG